AUUGAACGCUGGCGGCAGGCCUAACACAUGCAAGUCGAGCGGUAGCACAGAGAGCUUGCUCUCGGGUGACGAGCGGCGGACGGGUGAGUAAUGUCUGGGAAACUGCCUGAUGGAGGGGGAUAACUACUGGAAACGGUAGCUAAUACCGCAUAACGUCGCAAGACCAAAGUGGGGGACCUUCGGGCCUCAUGCCAUCAGAUGUGCCCAGAUGGGAUUAGCUAGUAGGUGGGGUAACGGCUCACCUAGGCGACGAUCCCUAGCUGGUCUGAGAGGAUGACCAGCCACACUGGAACUGAGACACGGUCCAGACUCCUACGGGAGGCAGCAGUGGGGAAUAUUGCACAAUGGGCGCAAGCCUGAUGCAGCCAUGCCGCGUGUGUGAAGAAGGCCUUCGGGUUGUAAAGCACUUUCAGCGGGGAGGAAGGCGGUGAGGUUAAUAACCUCAUCGAUUGACGUUACCCGCAGAAGAAGCACCGGCUAACUCCGUGCCAGCCGCCGCCGCAGUAA
rnacentral:rRNA from 1 species